GGCCAAACCUAUUCCAAACGCUAUAGUGUUGUAGUCCCUGUUUAGAUUCAGGCCACUCCCAACUGCAAUAAAAUGGGGGAGAAGCAUGUUACUUACUUUUUUUUUUUUUUUUGCCAGGACUGAUACUCACUUUGCUGCCACCCACUCCUUGUCCCACAACUUCAUCCAAGAGGCAUCACUUCAUUACCUUCUUGCUCGUUCCGGCAUCUGUCCAAUGACAUGCUCACAGGAGCAGCAGUUGAUGACAUUUGAUGUUCAUUUUACAAAAACUCUUGGCACAAAAAGUACUAAUUUAUUAGUUGGAAAGGCAACUUAAGGGGUUAACCCAGGGCUUGACAAAUUUGUUUAGAAUAUAGGAGCCAGCUAAAAAAGUUAGGAGCCAGUAAUUUUCAACGAGAGAGUGCAAUUCUUAAAGGGACACUAUAGUCACCAGAACCACUACAGCUUGAUGCAGUAGUUCUGGUGUCUAUAGCCUGUCCCUGCAGGCAUUUUAGUGUAAACACUGCCUUUUCAGCGAAAAGGCAGAGUUUACAUUGCUGCUUACUAACACCUUUAAUGACUGUCACUCGAGAGUCC